rnacentral:rRNA from 1 species
UACAGAGGGUGCGAGCGUUGUUCGGAAUUAUUGGGCGUAAAGGGCGCGUAGGCGGUGCGGUAAGUCGACCUGUGAAAUCUCCUGGCUCAAACUGGGAGCUUGCAGGCGAAACUGCCGUGCUGGAGUGUGGGAGAGGUGCGUGGAAUUCCUGGUGUAGCGGUGAAAUGCGUAGAUAUCAGGAGGAACACCGAUGGCGAAGGCAGAUCUCUGGGCCGUAACUGACGCUGAGGAGCGAAAGCGUGGGGAGCGAACAAG